rnacentral:rRNA from 1 species
GACGAACGCUGGCGGCGUGCUUAACACAUGCAAGUGGAGCGACGAACCAGGGCUUGCCCUGGGGCAGAGCCGCGAACGGGUGAGUAACACGUGGGUAACCUACCCCGAAGACUGGGACAACCCGAGGAAACUCGGGCUAAUACCAGAUGUGGUCUCUCUUCAUAAGUAGAGCGACUAAAGGGAGCUUCGGCCCCCGCUUUGGGAGGGGCCCGCGGCCCAUUAGCUUGUUGGUGAGGUAACGGCUCACCAAGGCUUCGAUGGGUAGCUGGUCUGAGAGGACGAUCAGCCACACUGGGACUGAGACACGGCCCAGACUCCUACGGGUGGCAG